AUGUGGCUGCGAGCCGGGGGCGGGGCGGGGUUGGCGCAUGCGCGAGCCUGCCUGUUUUCCCCGGAGGUGCGGCUGGGGUUCGGUACCUAAAAGCCAGCACACCUCUGCAUCCAGGUGAGAACAGUGAGAGGAAGGUUUGGCAGAAUAGGAGCAGCGUGAGCAGGAUUUAAAAGUGCAGGGGUUGGGAGUGUGUGCACUGCAUUGUCCAACCUCUGGCAGGAUCUACCCCUCUGAGGUCCUGGUAGAAGACUGUCAGGAAAAGAUAUCUUCUGCUUCUGGCUCCCGAGGGUGGCCAUUUCUAGCGGUUGCGGGAAGUUGCUAGCAUUAGCCAUUUGCUAGCAAAGCUUUACACUUCAAAAAAAUAACAGCUUUAGACUUCCAGAAGAAAUUGAGAAGAUGGCACAGAUCAUUCCCAGGCCCCCAAUUUCCCCUGUCAUUGACAUCUUGCACUCACCUAGGAUUUAUGUCCCUUCACGUCAGGGCUUCAUGCUGUCAUCGUGAUUUGUGACUGCCUGAUGGUGGCCUCGAUCGCCUGGCUGAGGUGUGUUUGUCAGGUUCUUCCACUGCGCAGCUACUCUUUGUCCCCUUCCCAUUCUGUCCUCUUUGCAGGAAAGCCUACACAUGCACAGCGGGCAGUUACGCACCAACUCCCUGAGGGAUCAUAUCUAUAUAAAUUAUUAGGAAUUCUUCAUUAAGGGAGUUUUGUCCCGUCAAACCCAUUCAUAAAUAUCCAAUUAUCUAAUUAUCCAAUCCAUCAUCCUUACUUUCUGCCACUGCAAGUGUUCCAGGUUCAUCUUGUAUUUUUCCCGCCCCGGUCCCAGAAUGCAUUCCUCCUGAUGUCUCCAACUCCGGUGCAUUGCCACAUGGAUCCCUCUAGCUCCCUCCCUUGCUCCUCCCAGUGAGAAACCUGGCCCCUGCCAUCCACCAGCCGUUUGCUUCAUCAUCUGAUUAUAGCGCUCAAGUACGGCUGGGUCACUAAGAGUUCUUUGACCGCUGCACCACUGGGGAUGGCCAUCUGUGCCGUCUUCUGUCCCUUCCCUGCUACACACGCACACACAGACACAUACCGUCUUCUCCUCUCUCCUCUGCCCCUCCCCUCAUGGCCAGACCCCCCCAUCCCACCCCAACCCUGGAGUUCCUGUUUAUCUCUUCGCAGUGCACUUUGUUUCCCCUGGUUUUGCCCAUACCCCAGCGGCUUUCCCUUCUUAUCUUUCUAAGCAAAUACAAGUUCCCUUUCUACAAAAUACUCUGGUGUCACCCUUAAAAUAUCUUCCCAAGCCUGAUCAGGCUCAGGGGCUGGUCUUUAGUCAGUAGACACUGGGUGUGACCACACACACACACACACACACACACGCACACACACACCCUGGGACAGCAGCAUCCAUUGUCCUCCAGGUCUCCUGGCAGCAGAGGCCAGAGUGGGAACAGUCACGGGAGGGCACAAUAGCCCAGGUGGACAGGAGCCAGAACACGCUAGGACUCAUGGUAGAAAGGGCGUGGCUAUAAAGUGGAAGGUUGUUUCCGAAGUAGAAGAGUGGAAGUUCUAGUUGAUUGUAGAGGUCAAGGGAGAGAAAAAUUAAUCACAUAAGAUUCUCAUGUCAUAUGCUGGAGUGAAGCCUGAAAGUAUUUUUCCUGGUAGGUGUUUGCAUUUUAAUGAGACUGCUGGUCUAGAAUUCAGAAUUUGCAAGGAGGUUUCAAAUGCAUGCCAACUGCAGGAGCAAUGUAGGGGUUGCCUGAAGCAGGAGUUAGGAAGGGCUCCUGCGUCCCUCCCUCCUGCAGGAGAUGUGCCGUGAUGUUAGUGCUGCCUGCGUGACUGGGGAAGAGUGGGGCAGGGCUCUUUGGGUUGCCCUGGUUCUAUCUGCAGGUUUCCUUCUAGUUCAGGGACUUUUUGGCAAAUUAUAAGUAAUAAAAACACCAUUGGAGGAGAUCAUUUUGAGCCAAGGCUUCGUAUCAUGUCCUGCAGGCAGCAUCCUUUCUUGUCUGGUGUAAAGGCAGUCCUCUAUUCCAGACUCAGAUAACUGAGCGGGAAGAUAGCAUGGUAAUAAAGAAUUCCUGAAAGCUGACCUGGGACUUUGGUUAGAGCACUGUCCUACAAGGCAGCGUGAACUAAUCAGUUACUUCGGUGGAUUGGGUAUCAGCUACUAAACCAUGCUUUUCAGACCUUAUGAUACUUUACAUAUUAGGGAAGAAAGAUUAAAAUGAGAAUUUGAGGCACAAAUAGUGGUCAGGAAAGAAAAUUGUGUGUGUGUAUGCACAUAUGUCUGCAUGUGUGUAAGGAAGCACCCGCAUGAGAUCUUCAGAAGCAGAGAAUGCAAAAUAUGGCAUUCUCAUAGGGAGCAGGAAAAGGCUUUUCUUUCCAAAUAUACCUUACUUCUAUCUGGCAGGAAGUUGUCACAGUAAAUAUAUAAAUUUGUGUUGUCUAUGACAUUGUGAGCUUAAUCAGUGCACCACCUGCACAACUGUAUGUGAUAUACAUGGCCAGGAGUGGGGCGAGAUAUACUGACACAACAAAAAAGAAGGGGAGAAGACAGUAAGAAAAUGGUGACUUCCCAGGGUGCCUGGGUGGCUCAGCUGGUUGAAUGACCAACUCAUGAUGUCAAGGUCGUGGGACUGAGCCCUGCAUUGGGCUCUAUGCUCAGCGCAGAGUCCACUUGUCCCUCUCCCUCUGCUCCUCUCCCUUCUCCCCCUCCCCAAAUAAAUAAAUAAAUAAAAUCUUAAAAAAGAGAAUGGCUUCCUUGUAAGCAUAUGAAGCCAUGGAGUUAGACUGCUCUGGGUUUUCUGAUGCACAACUAAUUAUCACUUAGUAAAGCUCUCCAAGCAGGCAAGCAUCUGAUGCAUGAACAAACGUACAUGAAAUAGUGUGCAUCUCACAUUCUCCACUUGUACUUCACUGACUGGCCCCCAGUCAAUGAUAGCAGUGCGGGAAGUUGGGAUGGGACAGAAUUAAGUCAUGUAGGGGACAAGGUAAAUGGCCGUGAUAGCACCCGGUGAUGGUAAAGUAAUAGAACUCAUAGGUGUGAGGAUGGUUCUACAGACAUUUUGAAGAGGUGAUAAUUUUGAAGGACAACACAUUUAGACAUGUUUAAAAAAAGAUCGGUUACCUAUGUCGUACUUCAUGUGCAGCUUUCGGAUUGCUUUUCAGUUACCAACAGCAAGGAAAGGCAGAGACCUCGUGGGGGUAGCAGAUCUCCAUCAUAAGGUAGUGUCAGAGCUCCAGGCUGAGAUGGGGAAUUUUUCAGUGUUAAUGGGACAACACGAAAGUGUUUUGGCAGAAUAAAACCCAGAGCAGGGAGGGAGAGUAGGCAGAAGAUUCAGUACAAGUAGGUGUCCAUGUAUUUUGUUUAAAAGGUAGGUAAGCCUUAUUUCAUAUACAGGUUCAAGGUGAAGCAUUAAGCAGUGAUAACAUAGCAGCUCAAGAACUUGCCAGCAGGCCUUCCUCUCUUCAUAUACGAGGGUCCCGAAUGCUUAAGGGAGAUGUUAAGGGAGAUGUUCCCUGGAAAAGAACUUCAAAAGAUAUAUCCCUAGGUGAAUUGCUAAAUAAAAGAAAAAUUAAGUGACACUACCCAGAUGUUCAUAGUGAAUGAAUGGAUAAACAAAAUAAGGUAUGCAUGCUGUGGAACAUUAUUCAGCCCUGACCAGGGAGGAAAUCCUGACACAGGCUACAACUUAGAGGAAGCUUGAGGACAUUGUGCUAAGUAGUGAAAUACGCCAGUCACAGGAGAACAAACACUGUGCGAUUCCAAUAGAACGAGGAACCUAGAGGCAACAUAGUCAUAGAGACAGAAAGUAGAGUGGUGGCUGCCAGAAACUGAGGCAGAGGAGAAUGGGGAGUCCUAUUUAAUGGGUCAUUAGGACAGAUGAAAAGUUCCAAGAACGGAUGGUGGCAGUGGUCACACAAUAUGAAACUCCUUAAU